GAUGAACGCUGGCGGCGUGCCUAAUACAUGCAAGUCGAGCGAACAGACGAGGAGCUUGCUCCUCUGACGUUAGCGGCGGACGGGUGAGUAACACGUGGAUAACCUACCUAUAAGACUGGGAUAACUUCGGGAAACCGGAGCUAAUACCGGAUAAUAUAUUGAACCGCAUGGUUCAAUAGUGAAAGACGGUUUUGCUGUCACUUAUAGAUGGAUCCGCGCCGCAUUAGCUAGUUGGUAAGGUAACGGCUUACCAAGGCAACGAUGCGUAGCCGACCUGAGAGGGUGAUCGGCCACACUGGAACUAAGACACGGUCCAGACUCCUACGGGAGGCAGCAGUAGGGAAUCUUCCGCAAUGGGCGAAAGCCUGACGGAGCAACGCCGCGUGAGUGAUGAAGGUCUUCGGAUCGUAAAACUCUGUUAUUAGGGAAGAACAAAUGUGUAAGUAACUAUGCACGGCUUGACGGUACCUAAUCAGAAAGCCACGGCUAACUACGUG
rnacentral:rRNA from 1 species